rnacentral:rRNA from 1 species
GACGAACGCUGGCGGCGUGCCUAACACAUGCAAGUCGAACGGAGCAGAUCCCUUCGGGGGUUUGCUUAGUGGCGAACGGGUGAGUAACGCGUGAGGAACCUGCCUUUCAGUGGGGGACAACAGUUGGAAACGACUGCUAAUACCGCAUAAUGCAACGAAAUCGCAUGACUUUGUUGCCAAAGAUUUAUCGCUCUGAGAUGGCCUCGCGUCUGAUUAGCUAGUUGGCGGGGUAACGGCCCACCAAGGCGACGAUCAGUAGCCGGACUGAGAGGUUGGCCGGCCACAUUGGGACUGAGACACGGCCCAG